UGCGUAGGCGGUUUGGUAAGUCUUGUGUGAAAUCUUCGGGCUCAACUCGAAGUCUGCAUAGGAAACUGCCGGGCUUGAGUGUGGGAGAGGUGAGUGGAAUUCCUGGUGUAGCGGUGAAAUGCGUAGAUAUCAGGAGGAACACCUGUGGCGAAAGCGGCUCACUGGACCACAACUGACGCUGAUGCACGAAAGCUAGGGGAGCAAACAGGAUUAGAUACCCUGGUAGUCCUAGCCCUAAACGAUGAUCGCUUGGUGUGACGGGUACCCAAUCCCGCCGUGCCGUAGCUAACGCGUUAAGCGAUCCGCCUGGGGAGUACGGUCGCAAGGCUGAA
rnacentral:rRNA from 1 species